UAGUCUGCUCACACUCUGUGCAGGAGUCAGUUGCAGUCAGCAUACAGCAUGGACAUGAAGGCCCCUGCUCAGCUCCUGGGGCUCCUGCUGCUCUGGCUCCCAGGUUCCAGAUGUGACAUCCUAAUGACUCAGUCUCCAUCCUACUUGUCCGCGUCAGUAGGAGACAGAGUCUCCAUCACUUGCAGAGCCAGUCAGGGCAUUGGUACUAAUUUACAUUGGUAUCAGCAGAAACCAAGGAAAGGUCCUAAACUUUUGAUUUAUUGGGCAAACAGCUUGCAAACCGGGGUCCCAUCCAGAUUCAGUGGCAGUGUAUCUGGGGAAGAGUACACUCUCACCAUCAGCAGCCUUUAG